rnacentral:rRNA from 1 species
UACGAAGGGGGCUAGCGUUGUUCGGAAUUACUGGGCGUAAAGCGUACGUAGGCGGAUCGAUCAGUCAGGGGUGAAAUCCCAGGGCUCAACCCUGGAACUGCCUUUGAUACUGUCGAUCUGGAGUAUGGAAGAGGUGAGUGGAAUUCCGAGUGUAGAGGUGAAAUUCGUAGAUAUUCGGAGGAACACCAGUGGCGAAGGCGGCUCACUGGUCCAUUACUGACGCUGAGGUGCGAAAGCGCGGGGAGCAAACAGG